rnacentral:rRNA from 1 species
UGCGUUCCAUCUGGAAGAAGUCUGGAGACAGGUGCUGCAUGGCUGUCGUCAGCUCGUGUCGUGAGAUGUUGGGUUAAGUCCCGCAACGAGCGCAACCCUUGCCUUUAGUUGCCAGCAGUUCGGCUGGGCACUCUAAAGGGACUGCCGGUGUUAAACCGGAGGAAGGUGGGGAUGACGUCAAGUCCUCAUGGCCUUUAUGACCAGGGCUACACACGUACUACAAUGGCCGAUACAAAGGGUUGCCAAGCCGCGAGGUGGAGCUAAUCCCAUAAAACCGAUCGUAGUCCGGAUCGCAGUCUGCAACUCGACUGCGUGAAGUCGGAAUCGCUAGUAAUCGUGAAUCAGAAUGUCACGGUGAAUACGUUCCCGGGCCUU